rnacentral:rRNA from 1 species
GACGUAGGAGGCGAGCGUUGUCCGGAUUCAUUGGGCGUAAAGAGCGCGCAGGCGGCUUGGUAAGUCGGAUGUGAAAACCCGAGGCUCAACCUCGGGCGUGCAUCCGAAACUGCUCGGCUAGAGGUAGGUAGGGGAGAUCGGAAUUCCUGGUGUAGCGGUGAAAUGCGCAGAUAUCAGGAGGAACACCGGUGGCGAAGGCAGGUCUCUGGGCCACUACUGACGCUGAGAAGCGAAAGCAUGGGGAGCGAACAGG